UCUAUUAAUCAAAGAAACCGGCGAUUAAUGCAGUGCUUGUGUGUGUCUUCAGGGUUCGACCCGUGGGAAGCUUCAGCGACUCCGACGCUUUAGACUUCGAUAGAAUGAAACAGGAAAUCUUGGAAGAAGUGGUUCGUGAACUGCACAAGGUGAAGGACGAGAUCAUUGAUGCCAUUAGACAUGAACUCAGUCGAAUCAGCACCACAUAGUGUCCAUCGAACCCCUGCGGAUCCUGCUGUAGCCAACGCCGGACGUUACAGCCGUAUUAAACGCUCGUUUUAACUCGUCUGCAACGUCGAGGAGCCCUGGGCGGAGAUGUGUUGAUGAAGGAAGGACACUUGCACUGAUUUUGGUGGCAGUCUUUUCAGAAACUGAAGAAAACAGAGCAAACAUCUGGAGUCCUUUUCAUUUGUCUGCAUUAUUGUUAUUAUUAUUGUUAUUAUAGGUAUAGUUGUAGUAGUAGUAGUAGUGUUUUCAUGUAGG